rnacentral:rRNA from 1 species
GUGAGGAAUAUUGGGCAAUGGGCGAAAGCCUGACCCAGCCACGCCGCGUGAGUGAUGAAGGCCUUCGGGUUGUAACGCUCUGUGGGGAGGGAAGAAAAAGCGGGAGAGUAACUGCUCUCGUGUUGACGGUACCUCCUUAGCAAGCACCGGCUAACUCUGUGCCAGCAGCCGCGGUAAUACAGAGGGUGCAAACGUUGCUCGGAAUUACUGGGCGUAAAGCGCGUGUAGGCUGACAUGCAAGUCGGGUGUGAAAUCCCAGGGCUCAACCUUGGAACUGCACUCGAAACUGCACGUCUUGAGUACUGGAGAGGGAAGCGGAAUUCCGGGUGUAGAGGUGAAAUUCGUAGAUAUCCGGAGGAACACCAGUGGCGAAGGCGGCUUCCUGGACAGUAACUGACGCUGAGACGCGAAAGCGUGGGGAGCAAAUGGGAUUAGAAACCCGGGUAGUCC